rnacentral:rRNA from 1 species
UACGGGGGGGGCAAGCGUUGUCCGGAAUUACUGGGCGUAAAGGGCUCGUAGGCGGCCAACUAAGUCCGACGUGAAAUCCCCAGGCUUAACCUGGGAACUGCGUCGGAUACUGGAUGGCUUGAAUCCGGGAGAGGGAUGCGGAAUUCCAGGUGUAGCGGUGAAAUGCGUAGAUAUCUGGAGGAACACCGGUGGCGAAGGCGGCAUCCUGGACCGGCAUUGACGCUGAUGAGCGAAAGCCAGGGGAGCAAACGGG